UUACUUGCCUUAGAAAAGGAGAAGGUUUUUAGAGCUCAGGAAAUAUAGGCAGCUAUAGAACUACAAAAAUCUUUUGACUGUUCUAUUGGAAUAUCCUUAAAAUUUUAAAGACUUCUACUCUAAAAUGCUUCCUGAAUAUUCAGAAGUUAAAAUGAGUUGAAUUCUGUUGGUAGUAAAGUGUUUGGGUUACCGUUUGGAUGGAUUUUGAUUGCUAGGUUUAUUUAACCUUGUUACUGGUUUGAAAGAAUUUAUAAGCUAUUUUCCCUUGUUUAUUUUUGGGUCGUCAUUGCUGUUAAUUCCUGUCCUUGUUAUUGCUGGCUGCUGAAUUUCCCGCCUCUUACUCCUUCCUUAUUUCCUUCUUCUUCCAGGUAUAUCUUCAAACUGUAGUGGAAUGAAGUUUUUGAACAAAACUAUGAAAAUCUGGAUUCAAAUUGAAGUUUAAGCUGAAAUACUGGUUUCUGGUGUGUUUGUGACC
rnacentral:lncRNA from 1 species